UACGUAGGGGGCGAGCGUUGUCCGGAGUUACUGGGCGUAAAGGGCAUGCAGGCGGUCGGACGCGUUUCGGGUGACAGCGGGUGGCUUAACUACCCGAGUGGUCGAAAGACGGUUUGACUUGAGGACGCGAGAGGGACACGGAAUUCCGGGUGGAGUGGUGAAAUGCGUAGAGAUCCGGAGGAACACCGAAGGCGAAGGCAGUGUCCUGGCGCGUAACUGACGCUGAGGUGCGAAAGCUAGGGGAGCGAACGGG
rnacentral:rRNA from 1 species